ensembl:lincRNA Snhg12 small nucleolar RNA host gene 12
UCUGUUGCCAUUCAUCUUAGCUGUUGAUGAAGAUUGUGAGGAGGGAGACCAGAAGAUAAUGGACAACGAUACAGCAGAAGGGUCUGGUAAGCUCCGUUUAGUUGCACUACCCGGGGAGACCUGAGGCAUGUUUCCAAGGGCUGUGGCUGCCUGUAGCCAUGGGAUCUCCAACUGCAUGCCAGAGUAAUGGAGAGACUUUGACAGCUCAGGUCAGCACAGUGCCUGCAGCUGCCACUCAUCUUUCCUAUAUAUGUAUAUCAGGCCUCAAGUUGAGCGCCCUCUACCUGUGAGGCUAUUGUUCUGUGGUAUUUACAACAAAUGUUUCUUCUGCAGGUUACACUUGAGCUUAUUUCUUGGAAGAGUCUGAGAAGACGGCCUGUCAGGCUCCUAACACUAAGGGCCAUGUAACCAGUGAAGCAGCCAUUAUAUAUGAUUUGGUCUACACUUGUUGGAAAAAUUCCACAAGAGGAUCUCCUGGAAGCUAGCAGAAGUUUUUGGCUUGUACAUUGCCAGGCAGCCAUUGGAAUCGGAGCUGCAGUCAGAUUAAGGCNNNNNNNNNNNCAGCCUGGCCUACAUUGAGAAACCUCAUUUUGGGAAAGUGAAAUACUUUGUCAAUUAACAUGCA